GACGAACGCUGGCGGCGUGCUUAACACAUGCAAGUCGAGCGGUAAGGCCCUUUCGGGGGUACACGAGCGGCGAACGGGUGAGUAACACGUGGGUGACCUGCCCUCAGCUCUGGGAUAAGCCUGGGAAACUGGGUCUAAUACUGGAUAUGACUCCACGGUGCAUGUCGUGGGGUGGAAAGCCUUGUGCGGCUGAGGAUGGGCCCGCGGCCUAUCAGCUUGUUGGUGGGGUGAGGCCUACCAAGGCGACGACGGGUAGCCGGCCCGAGAGGGCGACCGGCCACACUGGGACUGAGACACGGCCCAGACUCCUACGGGAGGCAGCAGUGGGGAAUCUUGCGCAAUGGGCGAAAGCCUGACGCAGCGACGCCGCGU
rnacentral:rRNA from 1 species